rnacentral:lncRNA from 1 species
CCCCCCCGAAAAUCAAAUGGUUGCUGCCUAACAAGAAAAUUUGCAUACAAGGAUAUUUCCAUAGACCGGUCUCUAAACAAUGCAUUUGUGUAGUGUUUUUGUACUAAUGCUGACUUACCUAAACAUCAGGUAAAUUUCUUCCAAUAAAGAUUUCAUCCGAUCAUUGCUCUAUUAACCUUAAUUGUAUUUGGCAAUUUAUACUCCGUUGUAGUUUCUUUUCUUCAGUUUAUUUCUUUCAAUAUAUAUUCUAAAUUUCUGCACAUAAACGUUAAACAUGAAUUCCAAUCGAGGAAUGGACAUUUCAUUUUUAACUCCCAGCUCUCUUUAUGUUAUUGUAUUUCUCGCUACAUCGAAGACCUGUUGGUGACCUUCUGCUGUUGUUUUUUCUAUGGUCGGGUUGUUGUCUCUUUGACACAUUCCCCAUUUCCAUUCUCAAUUUUAUCUGCUUAGUUUAUUUGUUGACCAUGUUCAACAUUAUUUUAUGAUAGUUUGAAGCUUUCCCUCCACACGAAAUAUAAGCAACACUCAAAUGGCAGUAAAAUGAGCAUUUAAUCCUUGCCUUAUAAAGCUUCAAAGUCAGCUAGUAUAACAAUCUGGUACAAAAAUAAUACAAAAUACAAUUAUAAUAAAUUGUGUCCCUGUAAGAAUAAUCUGCAACUUGCACUUGUUUGAAUGUGUCAUGAUGACAUUGCUUUGCAUAAAAUUGACAACAUAUUAAAGUGUUCAAGAACUGUUGCAUCAUAAAAUGUUUUGGUUAAAUCAACAAUAUUAUUUUGUUAACGUCUAUUAACUUGUGAAACUCGGUUAAUUUUUUGUUAUUUUUUGGCUUAUACUUUAAAUACGUUUUGGAUAAACAUCACGUUUUGGAUAAACUUUUGGAUAAACUUUAAAUACGUUUUGGAUAAACAUCACGUAAAUAACAAAAAGUGUGUUGGGAAAUUUGUUUAUUUCUGUCAUUUGAUCUCUUGUGGAGAGUUGUCUUUUUGACAAUCAUACCACAUCUUCUUUUUAUAGAUAUUUAAGAGUUUGAAAAUCAAACUGAUACUGAAAGGUGUGUUAUUCAUUAUAAAUUAUAAUUGAUUGAAAAUGUUGUAAUAUAAUUUAAGGCAAGGAUAAGUUUUGUCAUUUAAUGGCACCUAUCACUACAUUCAUGUGAGAAAAGGCCCUCAUAUUGAUAUAAUUCAUUAAAACAUCACUUUUGAAAAUUUCAGUUGCAGAAAAUAACUAGAGGCUUUAGAGCCUGUGUCGCUCACCUUGGUCUAUGUGCAAAUUAAACAAAGGACACGUAUGUGUUUUUUUGACAAAAUUGUGUUUUGGUGAUGGUGAUGUGUUUGUAGAUCUUACUUAACUGAACAUUCUUGCUGCUUACAAUUAUCUCUAUCUAUAAUGAACUUGGCCCAGUUGUUAGUGGAAAGUAUUUUGUAAAAAUUUACAGAAUUUAUGAAAAUUGUAAUAAAUUGACUAUAAAGGGCAAUAACUCCUUAAGGGGCAGCAACCCAACAACGGGUUGCCUGAAUGGUCUGAAAAUUUCAGGGCAGAUAAAUAUUCACCUAAUGAACAAUUCUAUCUAGAUUUGCUCUAAAUGCUUCAGUUUCAAAGAUAUGAGCCAAAAGCUGCAUUUUACCCCAUGUACUCUUUUUAGCCAUGGCAGCCAUCUUGGUUCGCGGGCGGGGGUGAUCGGACACAUUUUUAAAACUAAAUACCCUAAUGAUGAUUGUGGACAGUUUGGUUGACUUUGUCUCCGUAGUUUCAGAGGUGAGGAUUUUUGUAAAAGAUUUCCUUAAAAUUGUUAAAAAUUGACUAUAAAGGACAAUAACUCCUUAAGGGGUGAACUGACCAUUUUGGUCAUGUUGACUUAUUUGUAGAUCUUACUUUGCUGAACAUUGUUGAUGUUUACAGUUUAUCUCUUU